GCAGUCGUUGCCGAGUGGUUGAGGCGAUGGACUAGAAAUCCAUUGGAGUCUCCCCCCACAGGUUCGAAUCCUGUCGGCUGCG
rnacentral:tRNA from 1 species